GUGUUGUUUUGUUUUUUAAUGCAGAUAUACAGUUUCCCCAACACCUUUUGUUGAAAUAGUUCUUUUCCUUUACAAUAAAAGUCUGAGCUUUUGUUGCAAGUCUUCUGAUCAUCUUUAUGGGAGUUUAUGUGUUCUGUGAUCGAGCUGAUGAUCUGUGUCUCUUUAGGAAUUAUGGUUUUAUAGUUAUCAGAAAUCAGGAAUCUGAGACCUCUGUGUUUUGUAUGGCUUUUUUUCUUCUUCCCAAUUUCCAGAUUGUAUUGGCUAUUUAAGGCUCUUUGAGAUUCUAUACACAUUUAGGCUAGAUUUUCCUGUUUCUGCACAAAAGGCCACUAUGGUGCUGAUGAUAGGAUCAGCAGAUCACCUUAAUAUUACAGACUUUUAAAAAAUAAGCAUUAAGCCUUUUACACAAUAAACAUGGGAUGGACGGGUUUACUUUGGCUUUCCGUUUAAGGGUACAGCCUAUGGGGUAGCAGCAGGUGUGUAAGGUCACAGCUCCCAUGGCACCCACAGUAAGGAAAUAGAAAGAGAUAAAUGCUCGUGUCCAGCUGCCUUUCUUCUUGCCAUUCAGGAUGGAGGCCCAGCUGGGAGACAGUGACACCACAUUCAGAGUGGAUCUUCCUUACUUAAUAAACAUCCUCACAGAACUCCAGUCAGGUUAAUGCUAAGGACGAGCCAUCUCAUCACAACUAGGGGUGAUGAUCUUGUACUGAAGUUUAGUGCUAAAAUGAGGUUCCACCUUCAGGGAAUCUCAGUUCUUGUAGAGAAGCAAAUGUGUGAAGACAUAGAUGGUUCCUGCAAGCUUUGGCGAUGGGUAGCCAGGGAGACACUGAAUGGACAUUCAAAUGUAUUUCCAGAGAUACCUCCAACUGGACAUUCACUGAGUUUGUGAACUUCUUUUAUAAAAAUACAAAUACAGCUAAGAGACCCUGUGGAUUGCUGUCCGUGUGCAAACUAGGUCUGGUGAAAUCUUAAUUAGUCAGAUAAGGCUAGAGCCUAUGAUUGGGCAGUGGGAAGGAAGAUGGAGCUGAAAGUUUUAGGGAAGAGAAAGAGAGAGAGAUAGACAGACAGACAGGGAGAAGACGGAAGAAGAAGAUGACCCAGAUCCACAUGGCCUGAAAUAGCCACAGGUAGCUAUGGUUAUCAUAGAAGGGCAAUAAUGUAGGCCAAUUUGUCCAACCUACGUGUGCAGCCUGUAUCAAUAUCAAAUUGAGUUUUGAGUACUUUGUGUGGGCAUUUUGGGGUUGAGGAUCUACUGUUACAAAUCUGACUGGUAAAUUACAAGCCUCAGGAGUUUUCAUUAUAUGAGGCUAGGAGUUUAGAGCCAGCAGCAGCCAGUCUCAGCAGAUUAGCUGCAGGGGUAGGAUGGCCUGGGAGGGUAUGAGCCGUUGGGGAGCAGCUAACCUCGGGAACCUGGGAAGACUGUGUCUUAUGGCUCCUCAUGGGGUGGUGAGAUCAUGGUGCCAGUGCCAGCCAUAGCUGGACUUAGCGUGCAUGGUUUUUAAUAAUUACAUCCUACAAGACUCUACCUAAACUGAGGGUAUACUUAAGUAUGACUUGAUUCCAUCAGCUGACUUUCUGCCGCCACUUUGCUCAAGUCAUACUAAAGAAGUUAUAUUUUUAUUUAACAGGGAGUAUCUUGCAUUGGGAGUGGAAUUAAUCAUGGGUAGCAUAGAAUGCAAGUGGUUUAGGAGUUAGAAAAGAAUCAGGAAGCUCACAGAAAGCACAGAGAAAAGUGUCAGGAUUCAAGAACAGGCAAACCUUGGAAGUAUUAGACCUGGAAUAGACUUCAUGGUAUGCAUCAUGAGCCAAUGCUAAAAAUAACUUCAAUCAUGGUAUAUGAAUGACGGAAUUUUAUAUCUGGUAACUAAUAAUUAGAAUCUUAUAAAGCUGCAUCCUGUUUGUAUGNNNNNNNNNNNNNNNNNNNNNNNNNNNNNNNNNNGUUUCCUGGGUACUCGCAGAGAGAAGGAAGCAUUGUUUGUCCUGCCGGUAUCCUUCUUCACAUCUGCUAGCCUGAGUUUGAGAGGGUGUGUGUGGGACAGUGCCAGAGACGUCCGCUGCAAUCUUCUUAGUCCCUCGGAGUGUCAGGGUCUGGUAAAAGAGACAGAUCGCCACCACCAAACCCACCAGGAAAGGUCGGGGGCAAAAUCGCCGGCGACAAAGGAACCCGGGUCGACAGACCAUGACCAGUCCAGGAUCACUUGGCCCCUGGCCACGUUGUCAGUGUGAAAAAAACACACAUCUGUCUUCUUUUUACACAAUUCCAAUCAAGUUCGCCCCAUCUCCGCUUGAAAACUUUCCGAAGGUUCAUGCCAAAGAUUCAUAGGACCCAGCGGUCAGAGGUGGUUAAUAGCCCUUAAAUGAAGGACAGUAAGAAGUGACUGGCCAGAUUUUUUUUUAAGAUGUCAAAAUAAAGAUAGUUAUAAGAAAUCAUCCGAAUGCAUCCCCAGCUACCAAGAGUUCCUUCCGGUAAUGCCUUACUUCCACAACAUUCUUAAAGUCAGGAGUUCAGCUUGUCUCCUCUUUUGGGGCAAAAAGAAAGCACCGUAAAGCGGGUCUGGAGGCAGAAACCAGCCGAAGACGCAGUCGAUUUAACGCGAAGUGCCUGUUGCACAGCUGGGCGCCGGCCAGGUUGUCCUAGCAGUUUCUCAUUUUCCCUCCGGUUUUAAAGCCAUCCCGCUCCCAGCCUUUUAUGUUGUAGAACUGCUGCUUCCUUUCGUUCAGUUUUAAAUUGCCACUUUGCUGCUAGCAUUCACGGCUUUUAACAUAAAAAAGGGGGAUAGCAGUUUGGCUGUAUGUGGUUACUGUCAGGGCUUUGCUUGCGUUUGGUCUCAUUCCGUUUCAAGUUCAAAGUUCUGUGUACUUACUCAGUUUUCAUCCUUUUAGCCAGAUUUUUUUUUUUUCAUGAUCCCCUAAUGGAUUGCUGAUCAAAAUCACUUGGAAGGAAACACCCAGGCGUAGGACUCCGCUUCAUCUCACUCUCACGCACGGACAGACACGCGCAGACUCGCGGAGACACGCGCGUGCCAGCUGCACACAGGGCCGAGAGCCGGAGGACCUGGGCCAUCGCUGCCACCCAGGCCGAGC
ensembl:lincRNA Gm26719 predicted gene, 26719